GGUUUCCAAUUCCUCUAUCCCCA
rnacentral:tRNA from 1 species